GCAAGUCGCAGGGGAAGCCGUCCUUCGGGAAUGGUGGAGACUGGCGGACGGGUGAGUAACGCGUGGGGAUUUGCCCUGGGGUGGGGAAUAACCGCUGGAAACGGCGGCUAAUACCGCAUACGUCCUAUGGGAGAAAGCUUUCGGGCGCCCUGGGAGGAACCCGCGUUGGAUUAGCUAGUUGGUGGGGUAAAGGCCCACCAAGGCGACGAUCCAUAGCUGGUCUGAGAGGAUGAUCAGCCACACUGGGACUGAGACACGGCCCAGACUCCUACGGGAGGCAGCAGUGGGGAAUAUUGGACAAUGGGCGCAAGCCUGAUCCAGCCAUGCCGCGUGAGUGAAGAAGGCCUUAGGGUUGUAAAGCUCUUUCACCCGUGAAGAUGAUGACGGUAGCGGGAGAAGAAGCCCCGGCUAACUCCGUGCCAGCAGCCGCGGUAAUACGGAGGGGGCAAGCGUUGUUCGGAAUUACUGGGCGUAAAGGGCGCGUAGGCGGACGAUCAAGUCAGGGGUGAAAGGCCUGGGCUCAACCUGGGAACUGCCUUUGAAACUGGUUGUCUUGAGUCCGGGAGAGGAUGGCGGAAUUCCCAGUGUAGAGGUGAAAUUCGUAGAUAUUGGGAAGAACACCGGUGGCGAAGGCGGCCAUCUGGACCGGCACUGACGCUGAGGCGCGAAAGCGUGG
rnacentral:rRNA from 1 species